rnacentral:misc_RNA from 1 species
AACCUAGCACACCUGCGGUGUGUACCUGCGGAAGGAUCAUUACAGAGUUCGUGCCCUCGCGGGUAGAUCUCCCACCCUUGUGUAUUCUCUACAUCUUGUUGCUUUGGCAGGCCGUUGGUUCGCCAACCACCGGCUCGCGGGCUGGUGCGUGCCUGCCAGAGGACCUCUCAAACUCGGUUUGUCAGUGUCGUCUGAGUACCAUAACAAUCGUUAAAACUUUUAACAACGGAUCUCAGAUCG